rnacentral:rRNA from 1 species
CAGAGCCUGAAUCAGUGUGUGUGUUAGUGGAAGCGUCUGGAAAGGCGCGCGAUACAGGGUGACAGCCCCGUACACAAAAAUGCACAUAUUGUGAGCUCGAUGAGUAGGGCGGGACACGUGGUAUCCUGUCUGAAUAUGGGGGGACCAUCCUCCAAGGCUAAAUACUCCUGACUGACCGAUAGUGAACCAGUACCGUGAGGGAAAGGCGAAAAGAACCCCGGCGAGGGGAGUGAAAAAGAACCUGAAACCGUGUACGUACAAGCAGUGGGAGCCUCUUAAUGGGGUGACUGCGUACCUUUUGUAUAAUGGGUCAGCGACUUAUAUUCUGUAGCAAGGUUAACCGAAUAGGGGAGCCGAAGGGAAACCGAGUCUUAACUGGGCGUUAAGUUGCAGGGUAUAGACCCGAAACCCGGUGAUCUAGCCAUGGGCAGGUUGAAGGUUGGGUAACACUAACUGGAGGACCGAACCGACUAAUGUUGAAAAAUUAGCGGAUGACUUGUGGCUGGGGGUGAAAGGCCAAUCAAACCGGGAGAUAGCUGGUUCUCCCCGAAAGCUAUUUAGGUAGCGCCUCGUGAAUUCAUCUCCGGGGGUAGAGCACUGUUUCGGCAAGGGGGUCAUCCCGACUUACCAACCCGAUGCAAACUGCGAAUACCGGAGAAUGUUAUCACGGGAGACACACGGCGGGUGCUAACGUCCGUCGUGAAGAGGGAAACAACCCAGACCGCCAGCUAAGGUCCCAAAGUCAUGGUUAAGUGGGAAACGAUGUGGGAAGGCCCAGACAGCCAGGAUGUUGGCUUAGAAGCAGCCAUCAUUUAAAGAAAGCGUAAUAGCUCACUGGUCGAGUCGGCCUGCGCGGAAGAUGUAACGGGGCUAAACCAUGCACCGAAGCUGCGGCAGCGACACUAUGUGUUGUUGGGUAGGGGAGCG